rnacentral:miRNA from 2 species
AUGGAAACUAAGGUUGGAUAGG